UGAACGCUGGCGGCAUGCUUUACACAUGCAAGUCGACCGGUAACAGGCCGCAAGGUGCUGACGAGUGGCGAACGGGUGAGUAAUGCAUCGGAACGUGCCCAGUCGUGGGGGAUAACUACUCGAAAGAGUAGCUAAUACCGCAUACGAUCUAUGGAUGAAAGCGGGGGACCGUAAGGCCUCGCGCGAUUGGAGCGGCCGAUGUCAGAUUAGGUAGUUGGUGGGGUAAAGGCCCACCAAGCCAACGAUCUGUAGCUGGUCUGAGAGGACGACCAGCCACACUGGGACUGAGACACGGCCCAGACUCCUACGGGAGGCAGCAGUGGGGAAUUUUGGACAAUGGGCGCAAGCCUGAUCCAGCAAUGCCGCGUGCAGGAAGAAGGCCUUCGGGUUGUAAACUGCUUUUGUACGGAACGAAACGGCUCUGGUUAAUACCCGGGGCUAAUGACGGUACCGUAAGAAUAAGCACCGGCUAACUACGUG
rnacentral:rRNA from 1 species